UACGGAGGGUGCGAGCGUUGUUCGGAAUCACUGGGCGUAAAGGGCGUGUAGGCGGUCCGCUAAGUCUGAUGUGAAAGCCCGGGGCUCACCCCCGGAAGUGCAUUGGAAACUGGCGGACUCGAGUCCCGGAGAGGAGGGUGGAAUUCUCGGUGUAGAGGUGAAAUUCGUAGAUAUUCGCAAGAACACCAGUGGCGAAGGCGGCUCACUGGCCCGGUACUGACGCUGAGGUGCGAAAGCGUGGGGAGCAAACAGG
rnacentral:rRNA from 1 species